GCUGCUUUCGUCUAGUGGUUAGGAUAACUCCUUUACAACAAAAUCUAACAUUUCUAACGGAGUAGAUCGCAGGUUCGAUCCCUGCAAGUAGCA